CGGGAGUAAUGUCUGGGAAACUGCCUGAUGGAGGGGGAUAACUACUGGAAACGGUAGCUAAUACCGCAUAAUGUCGCAAGACCAAAGUGGGGGGCCUUCGGGCCUCAUGCCAUCAGAUGUGCCCAGAUGGGAUUAGCUAGUAGGUGGGGUAACGGCUCACCUAGGCGACGAUCCCUAGCUGGUCUGAGAGGAUGACCAGCCACACUGGAACUGAGACACGGUCCAG
rnacentral:rRNA from 1 species